CCAAGGAGUUCAGCGUGUACGCGAGUCAUUGGGUGGUAAAACCCAAAGGCGUAAUGAAAGUGAAGGGAACUUCGCGUUUCUGAGGGAGGAUGAGUCGGUCACCCGCAAGGGGCCACUCCGCACUCCCGGGGCGUCUCUUUCUCAUUGCGAGUGGAGGCGCACCCAGAGCGUACACGCUGAUACCCGAAAGAUGGUGAACUAUGCCUGGCCAGGACGAAGCCAGGGGAAACCCUGGUGGAGGUCCGCAGCGAUUCUGACGUGCAAAUCGAUCGUCGGAGCUGGGUAUAGGGGCGAAAGACCAAUCGAACCAUCUAGUAGCUGGUUCCCUCCGAAGUUUCCCUCAGGAUAGCUUGCGCUCACGUGAACGAGUCUCAUCCGGUAGAGCGAAUGAUUAGAGGCCUUGGGGUCGAAACGACCUCAACCUAUUCUCAAACUCCAAAUAGAUGAGAACUCCGGCUUUCUUGAACUCUGUUUUUUGAAGCCGGGGGCUCGGAUCAGAGUGCCAAGUGGGCCAAUUUU
rnacentral:rRNA from 1 species